rnacentral:rRNA from 1 species
GUAGGUGGCAAGCAUUGUCCGGAAUUAUUGGGGCGUAAAGCGCGCGCAGGCGGGUCCUUUAAGUCUGAUGUGAAAGCCCACGGGCUCAACCGUGGAGGGUCAUUGGAAACUGGGGGACGUUGAGUACAGAAGAGGAAAGCGGAAUUCCAAGUGUAGCGGUGAAAUGCGUAGAGAUUUGGAGGAACACCAGUGGCGAAGGCGGCUUUCUGGUCUGUAACUGACGCUGAGGCGCGAAAGCGUGGGGAGCAAACAGGAUUAGAUACCCUGGUAGUCCACGCCGUAAACGAUGAGUGCUAAGUGUUAGGGGGUUUCCGCCCCUUAGUGCUGCAGCUAACGCAUUAAGCACUCCGCCUGGGGAGUACGGCCGCAAAGGCUG